AAAAUAAAAAUUAAUAAUGGGGGUUAUUAAUAAAAAAAAUUUUAUUGUGUUAAGUUUUAAGUAGGGUUAUUUGAAAAAAUUUAAUAUUUAUAGUUAAUUAGUAUUGUGAAAGAAUUUUGAAAAUAUAUGAAAAUAAAUUUAUUAAAAAGUAAUUUUAAUUUAAUGUAUCUUGUGUAUCAGAGUUUAUUAAUAAAAUAAUUAUUUUUAAUUUUUUUCGAAUUUAAAAGAGAUAAUUAUUUAUUAAAGUUAUUGUUGCAUAAAUAUUUUAAAUAAUUAAUUUGAAAUGAGAUGUUAAUCGUUUUUAAAUAUAUCUAAUUUUUUUAGAAAAAAAUUUAAUUUUAAAUUAAUUUAAUAAUUGAUUUAUUUUUUUUUAUAAUUUUAUUAUUAAAUUAAUUUUAUAUUUUAAGGGAUAAGCUUUAAAUUAAAUUUUUAUAAUUUUUUAUAUUUUUAAUUAAAAUUUUUAUUAUUUAUAUUGUAAGUAAAUUUUAUUUUAUUAUAAAUAAUUUUAUAUUUAUUUAAAAUUUAAUUUAAAUUUAAUUUUUUAUAAAAAAAAUUUUUUUAAUUUAAUAAAAUAUGAUAUAAUGAUAAAAUUAGUAUAUAAAUUUAAUUUAAUAAAAUAUUAUUUAUAUUUAUUAAUUUUAAGGAAUUCGGCAAAAUUUUAUGUCCACUUGUUUAUCAAAAACAUGUCUUUUUGAUUUUAAUUUAAAGUUUAAUCUGCCCACUGAUGAAAAUUAAAGGGCUGCAGUAUUUUGACUGUACAAAGGUAGCAUAAUCAUCAGUCUUUUAAAUGGUGACUUGUAUGAAUGAUUGGAUGAGAUAUAAGCUGUCUUAAAUUUAUUUGAUAGAAUUUAAUUUUUUAAUUAAAAAGUUAAAAUAUAUUAAAAAGACGAGAAGACCCUAUAGAGUUUUAUAAGUAUAAUUAAAUUAAGAAUAUUUAUAAAAUUAAAAUUAUUUAAAAUUUGUUUAUUUAUUUGAUUGGGGUGAUUAAAAAAUUUAAUUAACUUUUUUUAAUUUUUAACAUAGAUAAAUGAUUUAAUGGAUCCAAUUUUAUUGAUUGAAAGAAAAAAUUACCUUAGGGAUAACAGCGUAAUUUUUUUUUUUAGUUCAUAUAAGAAAAAGAGUUUGCGACCUCGAUGUUGGAUUAAGAUGAAAUUUAAAUGUAAAAGUUUGAGUGUUUUGAUCUGUUCGAUCAUUAAAAUCUUACAUGAUCUGAGUUCAAACCGGUGUAAGCCAGGUUGGUUUCUAUCUUUUAUUAAAAAUAAUAUUUUAGUACGAAAGGAUCGAGUAUUAAAAUUAAAUUUAAUAUUUAGAAUAUUAUUAAAAUUUAUUUAAAAUUAAUAAAAUUAUAAAAUUUGUUUAGUUUAAUAUAAUAAUGAAUGAUAAUGGGAUUUUUAUUGUUAAUAAUAAAAAUUUAUUUAAUUAAUUUUAAUUUAUAGUAUAUUUAAUUUAUUAGUAU
rnacentral:rRNA from 1 species